UACGUAGGGCGCAAGCGUUGUCCGGAAUUAUUGGGCGUAAAGAGCUCGUAGGCGGUCUGUCGCGUCGGCUGUGAAAACCCGGGGCUCAACCCCGGGCCUGCAGUCGAUACGGGCAGACUAGAGUGUGGUAGGGGAGACUGGAAUUCCUGGUGUAGCGGUGGAAUGCGCAGAUAUCAGGAGGAACACCGGUGGCGAAGGCGGGUCUCUGGGCCAUAACUGACGCUGAGGAGCGAAAGCGUGGGGAUCGAACAGG
rnacentral:rRNA from 1 species